ACUACUAGUCAGCAUUAAAUGUCUCUGUAUUAAAUUAUUCUCAUUUAUCUCCCUUUCAUUGGCGUGCCAGCAUGGGAGGAUGAGCCUGCAACAGGAUGGGCCCGCCAAUUAAUUGGAGAAGAGACUUUAGUCACUUUUAGUUGGGGGUGGGGUGACUAGGGACUAAACUAGUUUUAGUCACCCAUUAGUCAGGGGUGUUUGGAGGUUUACUGACUAAAGGUGACUACUACUAGUCUCUAGUCUCUAGUCUCUAGUGAUCCAAACACC
rnacentral:lncRNA from 1 species